CGAUAUAUCGGCCGGCCGAUACAUCGGGCCGAUUUUAGCAAGUUUUAGGUGUAUCGGCAUCGGCCGAUUCGCGGCUUGCGUUCGCCGAUAGCUUUUCCCCGGCAUUAAUUACAGACAGGCGCCCACAGGCAGCUCUGUGUUCUUUGAGGCUGCCUGCAGCCCGUGCAUUGCCCCUCCCCCCACUAGCAGAGCGGAGCGCUCCAAGCCUGCUCUGGUAAGUUUUAAACUUCAAAGCAUCUUUUAACUGUUUGACUGAAAUAUUGCCAUAUACUUUGAAAGUGUAAGCACGUUGCUCUAUAUGUGCGUGCAAUCAUAGCUAAGAAAGUUUGGUGGUCAUAAUGGAAAACGCGAAUGCCUAUAAAUCUGCUUGCCAUUGUAUUUAGGGAGCUUCAAAUAGCCUUUAGGCUAACCGUAUGCAUACGGCAGCUGUUACGAACAUCAUAGGAUUAAAUAAUGCUGACGUUGUUCCGUGAUUUCGUGGUAUUUAUAGGAGUUUUAUUCAGCGACCACCAGUCUGACGUUUGGACACGACGCGUGCUCAUAAUGCCGCAAGCGAACGCAGGUCAUCAGCCGAACAGCUGAUCAUAGCUGGACAUGCUGGGUUUUUAAUUUUUAUCUCCAUAAAUAUAUGUAGUAGUAAAAGGCUAAAAAUUAAUAUCCAUUGCUGAUAGUUUCUCGUCAUUGUGGAGAGCGCAGUUCAUGGUUGCAUACGUUUAUGGUUGUUAACACGGAGUUUCGCGGAAUUUUCGUCAGCGAAAAAAAAAGAAGAAAUUCGACUCUAAGCACUUAGUUCCAAACAGUUCCCACAUGACUUUUAUGUGACCGGAGAAGUGUUUUUUUGUAAGUUUUGUCAACAUUUCUGUUCACUGGGAGCGCAAAGAUACAUGCACUCUCUCAUCCAUGUCUCACUGCACCUCUCCCACGUGCACGCGCUCUACUAUCUGACCGAAGUCCGUACACAAAUCCUCAUGUAUUUGUUCAGUUUUAUGCGUUUUAAGCGAGCUGAGGCAAACUAACUAUCCCUCGCAUUUAUUAUAGGGCAAGAGGGUGUGUGAGAAUUCUUUUUAAGUUGUUUUUUGAUCAGUAUUGCUGUUUACAUUUUCCUUGUCUUCUUAUUAAAGACAUUUGCUCUACAAGAGAUUAAGUUAAGUGCACUAAAACUUAGACCUAAGCAUUAAAUAGGUUGUAAAUAGUUGGUUACUUUCAUGGAUAAAGUAAACUGUUCCCCUUGUUAUGCUGCUUGGUUGUUGCUACUGUGUGCAAUGGUGUAAUUAUUAUUUUAUUUAUGUAUUUUAAGCAGCACUGAAUUUUCUUACUUGUUCUACCUCACCUUACUAUUUGUUAAAUGUAGUUCAAUAAAUGUUCCUUUUUUAAAUUAAGAGCUGUAACAUUUGGUUUUAUCAUUGUGUCAUUUUUAUGAUAUAAACUGAAUGAGAAAAAGCAGUAUCGGCUCCAAAUAUCGGCUAAAGAAAAUCGGCAGCCUGUAUCGGUCAUCGGCUAAAGCUGAUGGAAAAAAAUCGGUAUCGGCAUCGGCACAAAAAAAAUCCAUAUCGGUCGAUCCCUACUUAU